rnacentral:rRNA from 1 species
ACUCCUACGGGAGGCAGCAGUGAGGAAUAUUGGACAAUGGAGGCAACUCUGAUCCAGCCAUGCCGCGUGCAGGAAGACUGCCCUAUGGGUUGUAAACUGCUUUUAUACGGGAAGAAACAAUCUCACGUGUGAGAUCUUGACGGUACCGUAAGAAUAAGCACCGGCUAACUCCGUGCCAGCAGCCGCGGUAAUACGGAGGGUGCAAGCGUUAUCCGGAAUCAUUGGGUUUAAAGGGUCCGCAGGCGGUCAAUUAAGUCAGAGGUGAAAUCCUGCAGCUUAACUGUAGAACUGCCUUUGAUACUGGUUGACUUGAGUUGUACGGAAGUAGAUAGAAUGUGUAGUGUAGCGGUGAAAUGCAUAGAUAUUACACAGAAUACCGAUUGCGAAGGCAGUCUACUACGUAUAUACUGACGCUCAUGGACGAAAGCGUGGGAGCGAACAGGAUUAGAUACCCCGUGGUAGGAUACAG